AGAAAAAGGACUCUGGAGUCUCUUGUUGGAGAAAGAUCUGACUGUGCUUUCCCCCUUGUGGUGGGGGAUGAAGCUCUGAUUUGAGUUCGGUUGCCCUGCAAGACACGAAGCUGCGACCAGAUGCUGCUAAUGGGAGCACGCAGAGGAUGCGCCAGAAGCCCACAGAAAACAUAGAACUUGAGGCUGGCUCAGAACCUGGAGGAAUGCUGCAGAACGGGCAAGGACUGCGCAGUUCCUAUGGGAGUGCGGAGGAAAAUGAAGAGCAUGUGCUGUUCUCAUGAAAUUCACAAUUUUUUUAGAGCAACACAGAGUGCAAGCAAUAAGAAAUGGAGAGUUAAAGUGUGAACCUAAG